GAUGAAGAACGCAGCGAAAUGCGAUAAGUAAUGUGAAUUGCAGAAUUCAGUGAAUCAUCGAAUCUUUGAACGCACAUUGCGCCCCCUGGUAUUCCGGGGGGCAUGCCUGUUCGAGCGUCAUUUCAACCCUCAAGCUCUGCUUGGUAUUGGGCGUCGCCGGGGAGUCUCCCCGGCGUGCCUCAAAGCCAUCGGCGGUGGUGCCUUUCUCUAAGCGUGGUAGAAUUUUUAUUCGCUUCUGAGUUGGGCUUCGCCUGCCGGACAAACCGGGCCCUCGCGGCCCACCUUCUCAGGUUGACCUCGGAUCAGGUAGGGAUACCCGCUGAACUUAAGCAUACAAUAAGCGGAGGA
rnacentral:misc_RNA from 1 species